AACGAACGCUGGCGGCGCGCCUAAUACAUGCAAGUCGAACGAGAAGCUGUAGCAAUACAGUUGUACAGUGGCGAACGGGUGAGGAAUACAUGGGUGACCUACCCUCGAGUGGGGAAUAACCAGCCGAAAGGUUGGCUAAUACCGCGUACGCUUCCCAGUCUACGGGUUGGGAAGGAAAGCGAUGCCGUGGGUAUCGCGCUCAAGGUUGGGCUCAUGUCCUAUCAGCUUGNGGUGGGGUAACGGCUCACCAAGCAACGACGGGUAGCUGGUCUGAGAGGACGA
rnacentral:rRNA from 1 species